UACGUAGGGUGCAAGCGUUAAUCGGAAUUACUGGGCGUAAAGCGUGCGCAGGCGGUUUUGUAAGUCUGUCGUGAAAUCCCCGGGCUCAACCUGGGAAUUGCGAUGGAGACUGCAAGGCUAGAAUCUGGCAGAGGGGGGUAGAAUUCCACGUGUGAGCAGUGAAAUGCGUAGAGAUGUGGAGGAACACCGAUGGCGAAGGCAGCCCCCUGGGUCAAGAUUGACGCUCAUGCACGAAAGCGUGGGGAGCAAACAGGAUUA
rnacentral:rRNA from 1 species